rnacentral:rRNA from 1 species
CGCCCAUUAGCUAGCCCAACCCCUUCACUCAACAACCCCCUAUUAAUAACCCUUAAAACACGUGACAUCCACAUAACCAAACCAUUUUUCCCCCCAAGUCCAGGCGAUGAAAAAGGAAAUCCGGAGCAAUAGAAAAAGUACCGCAAGGGAAAGCUGAAAGAGAGAUGAAACAGCCCAGUAAAGCUUAAUGAAGCAGAGAUUUAGACUCGUACCUUUUGCAUCAUGAUUUAGCUAGCACUUUCAAGCAAAGAGAACUUAGAGUUUGUAACCCCGAAACUGAGUGAGCUACUCCAAGACAGCCUAUUUAUAGGGCAAACCCGUCUCUGUGGCAAAAGAGUGGGAAGAGCUUUGAGUAGAGGUGACAGACCUACCGAACUCAGUUAUAGCUGGUUGCCCGUGAAUUGGAUAGAAGUUCAGCCCCCUGGGUUCCCGACUCAUUCACUGUUAUCACCCUUCAGACGCAGCGAGAAACCAGGGAUGUUAGUCAAAGGGGGUACAGCCCCUUUGAAACAAGACACAACUUUUACAGCAGGAUAAAGAUCACAUUAAAUUAAGGACAAAUGUUUUAGUGGGCCUAAAAGCAGCCAUCUUUACAGAAAGCGUUAAAGCUCAGACAUACGCACCUCCACAUAUACCGAUACCCCUAUCUUAAGCCCCUAAAUUUAACGAGCCCCCCUAUGCUAACAUAGGAACGACCAUGCUAAUAUGAGUAAUAAGAGAAUAUUAAGUACUCUCUCCUCGCACAUGUGUAUGUCGGAACGGACCCCCCACCGACUCUUAACGGCCCCAACAAAAGAGGGAAUUGGAAUGUGUCAUAAACAGACUAGAAAAACAUCCAACUCAACCCCGUUAACCCCACACUGGCGUGCUCCAGAGGAAAGACUAAAAAGGGAAGAAGGAACUCGGCAAACUUACCCCAAGCCUCGCCUGUUUACCAAAAACAUCGCCUCUUGCAAAACAUAAGUAUAAGAGGUCCCGCCUGCCCAGUGACAAGAUAGUUUAACGGCCGCGGUAUUUUGACCGUGCAAAGGUAGCGUAAUCACUUGUCUUUUAAAUGAAGACCCGUAUGAAUGGCAUAACGAGGGCUUAACUGUCUCCUUCCCCCAGUCAAUGAAAUUGAUCUCCCCGUGCAGAAGCGGGGAUAAAAUCAUAAGACGAGAAGACCCUAUGGAGCUUUAGACGCAAAGACAGAUCAUGUCAAAUACACCUAGUUAUAGGCCUGAACUAAAUGAAACCAGUCUUGAUGUCUUCGGUUGGGGCGACCAUGGGGAACACAAAACCCCCACGUGGAACAGGAGUACACCCCUAUCUUUCCCACCUCCUACAAACUAGAGCAACAGCUCUAAUAAGCAGAAAUUCUGACCAAACUGAUCCGGCAACGCCGAUCAACGAAUCAAGUUACCCUAGGGAUAACAGCGCAAUCCCCUUUUAGAGCCCAUAUCGACAAGGGGGUUUACGACCUCGAUGUUGGAUCAGGACAUCCUAAUGGUGCAAGGACAUCCCAAUGGUGCAGCCGCUAUUAAGGGUUCGUUUGUUCAACGAUUAAAGUCCUACGUGAUCUGAGUUCAGACCGGAGUAAUCCAGGUCAGUUUCUAUCUAUGUUGUGAUCUUUUCUAGUACGAAAGGACCGAAAAGAAGAGGCCCAUGCCUCUAGCACGCCUCACCCCCACCUAAUGAAAAAAUCUAAACUAGACAAAAGGGCAUGACCACUUAUGUCGAAGAUAACGACGU